AAAAAGAGAGUUUGAGAGAAAAAUGAAAUUUGGAUCUGUUUUGUGAAAGUGUGCUAGGGCUUUUGCAGUCUGAAAUGGAACAUAUAUACUCUGAUUAAUGUCCUUAAGUUUGGUUAAUGAAGUGGUAAUCCAAUUUAGCUCAAAAUGAAAUGUUUUGGUAAUUUGCUAAAAGCCAACUCAAGUUGCAUGGGGUGCAUGUAAAUGCACGAAAAUGGGCCUUGAGCACAUCAAAAAUGCAAUUUCUGGACAUUUGUAAUUGGUAGAAAACAUUGGAAAUGGU
rnacentral:lncRNA from 1 species